rnacentral:rRNA from 1 species
AUAGCGUAUAUUAAAGUUGUUGCAGUUAAAAAGCUCGUAGUUGAAUUUUGGGUUUGAUUAGGUGGUCUUUACGUAUGUAAUGUACUACUUUGAUCGAAUCUUUCCUUCUAGCGAACUAUAGUGUUAUUAAUUUAAUGCUAUAGGGAACUAGGACUUUUACUUUGAAAAAAUUAGAGUGUUUAAAGCAGGCUUACGCUUGAAUACAUUAGCAUGGAAUAAUAAAAUAGGACUUUGGUUUUAUUUUGUUGGUUUCUAAGACCGAAGUAAUGAUUAAUAGGGUCAGUUGGGGGCAUUAGUAUUUAAUCGUCAGAGGUGAAAUUCUUGGAUUGAUUAAAGACUAACUUCUG